rnacentral:rRNA from 1 species
AACGAACGCUGGCGGCAGGCCUAACACAUGCAAGUCGAGCGAGAACGCACCUUCGGGUGUUAUUAGAGCGGCGCACGGGUGAGGAACACGUGGGAACGUACCCUUUAGUUCGGAAUAGCCUCGGGAAACUGGGAUUAAUACCGGAUACGCCCUUCGGGGGAAAGAUUUAUCGCUAAAGGAUCGGCCCGCGUAGCAUUAGCUUGUUGGUGAGGUAAAAGCUCACCAAGGCUACGAUGCUUAGCUGGUCUGAGAGGAUGAUCAGCCACACUGGAACUGAGACACGGUCCAGACUCCUACGGGAGGCAGCAGUGAGGAAUAUUGGACAAUGGGCGAAAGCCUGAUCCAGCCAUGCCGCGUGAGUGAUGAAGGCCUUAGGGUUGUAAAGCUCUUUCGCCUGUGAUGAUAAUGACAGUAGCAGGUAAAGAAACCCCGGCUAACUCCG